ACAGGCGUAGUCGAUGGACAACGGGUUGAUAUUCCCGUACCGGCGCUGACGCGCCCAUGCUGAACCUGGUUAUGCUAACCAUCUGAUCGGAUGUGUCUUUUCGGAGAUGUGUCUGGGAGGGUGGGAUCCUGGCUGGUAGUAGGCAAGCGAUGGGGUGACGCAGGAGGGUAGUCCAACCCAGGCGGUGGUUGUCCUGGGGCAAGGGUGUAGGACGGGGCGUAGGUAAAUCCGCGUUUCCAUGUGUCUGAGACCUGAUGCCGAGCCGAUUGUGGCGAAGUGGAUGAUCCCAUGCUGCCGAGAAAAGCCUCUAGCGAGUGUCAGAGCCGCCCGUACCCUAAACCGACACAGGUGGUCAGG
rnacentral:rRNA from 1 species